ensembl:miRNA Mir21c microRNA 21c
AAGUCUUCUUUGUAGCUUAGCUUAUCAGACUGGUACAAUCUUCUUGACAGCUUGGUUCAGCUAUUCUCAGGGUGACUC